rnacentral:ribozyme from 13 species
UUUCUUCUCUUUUUUCCUCUUUCUUUCCAUAUCUAUACCAAUUUAUCCUCUUUUUUGUUGCGGUGAGAGAAGAAGAGAGGAGAGAAGGAGAGACAGAGAAGCCAUUCACGGAGGAGAGAGAGAAGAAUUCUUUUG